rnacentral:rRNA from 1 species
AACGCGAAGAACCUUACCUACUCUUGACAUCCAGAGAACUUAGCAGAGAUGCUUUGGUGCCUUCGGGAACUCUGAGACAGGUGCUGCAUGGCUGUCGUCAGCUCGUGUUGUGAAAUGUUGGGUUAAGUCCCGCAACGAGCGCAACCCUUAUCCUUUGUUGCCAGCGGUUAGGCCGGGAACUCAAAGGAGACUGCCAGUGAUAAACUGGAGGAAGGUGGGGAUGACGUCAAGUCAUCAUGGCCCUUACGAGUAGGGCUACACACGUGCUACAAUGGCAUAUACAAAGAGAAGCGACCUCGCGAGAGCAAGCGGACCUCAUAAAGUAUGUCGUAGUCCGGAUUGGAGUCUGCAACUCGACUCCAUGAAGUCGGAAUCGCUAGUAAUCGUGGAUCAGAAUGCCACGGUGAAUACGUUCCCGGGCCUUGUACACACCGCCCGUCACACCAUGGGAGUGGGUUGCAAAAGAAGUAGGUAGCUUAACCUUCGGGAGGGCGCUUACCACUUUGUGAUUCAUGACUGGGGUGAAGUCGUAACAAGGUAACCG